AUGGCUAAACUAGAGGCNGGGAAAGGCAAAUGGAAUUGCUGGUGUAGGGGUUAAAUCCGUUAAUAUCAGCAAGAACACUAAAUGCGAAAGCAAUUUGCUGGAACGGACCUGACGCUCAGGGACGAAAGCGUGGGGAGCGAAUGGGAUUAGAUACCCCAGUAGUCCACGCUGUAAACGAUGGAUGCUAAACAUUGGAAGUUAUCGACCCUUUCAGUGUUGUCAAUCUAAGGUAACCCGUUAAGCAUCCCGCCUGGGGAGUACGAGCGCAAGCUUAAAACUCAAAGGAAUAGACGGGGACCCGCACAAGCGGUGGAGCAUGUGGUUUAAUUCGACAAUGAGCGAAGAACCUCACCAAGACUUGACAUCUAGCUGCAAGCCCUGGAAACAGGGAAGCCUUCGAGGGUGCUAGACAGAUGCUGCAUGGUUGCCGUCAGCUCGUGUCGUGAGAUGUACCGUUAAGUCGGGAAACGAGCGCAACCCCUAUCCUAUGUUUUACAUGUCAUAGGAGACUGCCCGCGUUAAGUGGGAGGAAGGGGGGACGACGUCAAAUCAGCAUGGUUCUUAUGUCUUGGGCGACACACAUGCUACAAUGGAAAGGACAAAAGGACGGCCAAACCGCAAGGUGGAGCUAAUCCUUUAAACCUUUUCUCAGUUCGGAUUGAAGUCUGCAACUCGACUUCAUGAAGUUGGAAUCGCUAGUAAUCGUAGGUCAGCCACACUACGGUG
rnacentral:rRNA from 1 species